UACAGAGGUCCCGAGCGUUGUUCGGAUUCAUUGGGCGUAAAGGGUGCGUAGGCGGCGGGGCAAGUCUGAUGUGAAAUCCCGGGGCUCAACCCCGGAACUGCAUUGGAUACUGCCUUGCUAGAGUACUGGAGAGGGAACUGGAAUUUACGGUGUAGCAGUGAAAUGCGUAGAGAUCGUAAGGAAGGUCAGUGGCGAAGGCGAGUUCCUGGACAGUUACUGACGCUGAGGCACGAAGGCCAGGGGAGCAAACGGG
rnacentral:rRNA from 1 species